rnacentral:rRNA from 1 species
GACGAACGCUGGCGGCGUGCUUAACACAUGCAAGUCGAACGGAAAGGCCCUGCUUUUGUGGGGUGCUCGAGUGGCGAACGGGUGAGUAACAUGUGAGUAACCUGCCCUUGACUUUGGGAUAACUUCAGGAAACUGGGGCUAAUACCGGAUAGGAGCUCCUGCUGCAUGGUGGGGGUUGGAAAGUUUCGGCGGUUGGGGAUGGACUCGCGGCUUAUCAGCUUGUUGGUGGGGUAGUGGCUUACCAAGGCUUUGACGGGUAGCCGGCCUGAGAGGGUGACCGGCCACAUUGGGACUGAGAUACGGCCCAGACUCCUACGGGAGGCAGCAGUGGGGAAUAUUGCACAAUGGGCGGAAGCCUGAUGCAGCAACGCCGCGUGCGGGAUGAUGGCCUUCGGGUUGUAAACCGCUUUCGCCUGUGACGAAGCGUGAGUGACGGUAAUGGGUAAAGAAGCACCGGCUAACUACGUG